rnacentral:rRNA from 1 species
AGAGUUGAUCUGGCUCAGAACGAACGCUGGUGGCGUGUCUUAUACAUGCAAGUCGAGCGAGGCAGCAAUGCCGAGCGGCGAACGGGUGAGUAACGCGUAAGCAAUCUGCCCCAUAUCAGGAAAUACCCGUGCCAACGCGCGGUUAAUGUCCAGGAGAGUGGCCCUCUGCAUGGAGGGUUGACUAGAGAUUUAUCGGUAUGGGAUGAGCUUGCGUCCGAUUAGCUAGUUGGCGGGGCAACGGCCCACCAAGGCGACGAUCGGUAGCCGGCCUGAGAGGGUGAUCGGCCACAUUGGGACUGAGAUACGGCCCAGACUCCUACGGGAGGCAGCAGUAGGGAAUAUUGCACAAUGGGGGAAACCCUGAUGCAGCAACGCCACGUGUGGGAAGAAGCAUUUCGGUGUGUAAACCACUGUCAUGAGGGAAUAAGGCCCUUAUUCGUAAGGGACUUGAAUGUACCUUGAGAGGAAGCACCGGCAAACUUCGUGCCAGCCGCAGC